rnacentral:rRNA from 1 species
CCUACGGGAGGCAGCAGUGAGGAAUAUUGGUCAAUGGGCGAUAGCCUGAACCAGCCAAGUAGCGUGAAGGAUGACUGCCCUAUGGGUUGUAAACUUCUUUUAUAUGGGAAUAAAGUGCAGUACGUAUGCUACUUUGCAUGUACCUUAUGAAUAAGGAUCGGCUAACUCCGUGCCAGCAGCCGCGGUAAUACGGAGGAUCCGAGCGUUAUCCGGAUUUAUUGGGUUUAAAGGGAGCGUAGGUGGAUUGUUAAGUCAGUUGUGAAAGUUUGCGGCUCAACCGUAAAAUUGCAGUUGAUACUGGCAGCCUUGAGUACAGUAGAGGUAGGCGGAAUUCGUGGUGUAGCGGUGAAAUGCUUAGAUAUCACGAAGAACUCCGAUUGCGAAGGCAGCCUACUGGACUGUAACUGACGCUGAGGCUCGAAAGUGUGGGUAUCAAACAGGAUUAGAUACCCUUGUAGUC